rnacentral:tRNA from 1 species
GGUUGGCACAUGGUCGGGCCGGCUUUUAACCGGCGAGUUCAGGGUUCGAGUCCCUGACGGCCCA